GAUGAACGCUGGCGGCGUGCCUAAUACAUGCAAGUCGAGCGAACGGACGAGAAGCCUGCUUCUCUGAUGUUAGCGGCGGACGGGUGAGUAACACGUGGAUAACCUACCUAUAAGACUGGGAUAACUUCGGGAAACCGUAGCUAAUACCGGAUAAUAUUUUGAACCGCAUGGUUCAAAAGUGAAAGACGGUCUUGCUGUCACUUAUAGAUGGAUCCGCGCUGCAUUAGCUAGUUGGUAAGGUAACGGCUUACCAAGGCAACGAUGCAUAGCCGACCUGAGAGGGUGAUCGGCCACACUGGAACUGAGACACGGUCCAGACUCCUACGGGAGGCAGCAGUAGGGAAUCUUCCGCAAUGGGCGAAAGCCUGACGGAGCAACGCCGCGUGAGUGAUGAAGGUCUUCGGAUCGUAAAACUCUGUUAUUAGGUAAGAACAUAUGUGUAAGUAACUGUGCACAUCUCGACGGUACCUAAUCAGAAAGCCACGGCUAACUACGUG
rnacentral:rRNA from 1 species